rnacentral:rRNA from 1 species
CGCUGGCGGCGUGCCUAAUACAUGCAAGUCGAACGCACUCUCGUUUAGAUUGAAGGAGCUUGCUCCUGAUUGAUAAACAUUUGAGUGAGUGGCGGACGGGUGAGUAACACGUGGGUAACCUGCCCUAAAGUGGGGGAUAACAUUUAGAAACAGAUGCUAAUACCGCAUAAAACCUAACACCGCAUGGUGUAGGGUUGAAAGAUGGUUUCGGCUAUCACUUUAGGAUGGACCCGCGGUGCAUUAGUUAGUUGGUGAGGUAAAGGCUCACCAAGACCGUGAUGCAUAGCCGACCUGAGAGGGUAAUCGGCCACACUGGGACUGAGACACGGCCCAGACUCCUACGGGAGGCAGCAGUAGGGAAUCUUCCACAAUGGACGAAAGUCUGAUGGAGCAACGCCGCGUGAGUGAAGAAGGUUUUCGGAUCGUAAAACUCUGUUGUUGGAGAAGAAUGUAUCUGAUAGUAACUGAUCAGGUAGUGACGGUAUCCAACCAGAAAGCCACGGCUAACUACGUG